CUUUGUCAGACCCUUUGAGCUGAAAUCAUCAGUCUGUAUGUAACGUCUCGGUUCAGCUCCGGUUUGCAUAUGUGCAUGCUGCAGAGUUCUCGUUUUAAAUGGGGAGCUGCAGUUCAACACAAAUGCUCCUGUUUCUUUGGAGGAACAAGACCCUCCUAAGGUGCCGAAAUCCACUCAGUCGCUUUCACACACCCACAGAAAAUAAUGGCUUGACCUGCCUGUGGCCAGAUCUGACAUGCCCUGCUGUGGUGGGAAAAUUAAUUCACCUCACUACACCGCAGUCACCCUCAGCUGAGUCCUGCAAUUAUUUCAUUAUGAUCUAAGUAAGGCUGAUAACAGAUCUCAUUUGAUACCAUGGAUGGCUGGGGGGGGCAGCAUGGGGGUGGGAAGUGGAUGCCCUCACAUGUCAAGGCCUUGCAUCUAACCAACCAAGCUUUGUAAGGCUUUCUUGCUUGAUGGAAAUGGGGGUGAUUAAAGACAUGUUGUGCCCGUCUGUGUGUCUUCUGCAUGACUUUUCUCCCCAGAAUGAUUUACUGUGCAGUUAGCAUAUUUGAAAACCUGGAGGCUUUUCAUCUUCUGCAAGGCGAGGGAGGGAUGUGUUUGAUGGGCUGAUUGGAGGAGCACACUCAGAUCCCAGUGUUUUCUGGGGAAAGAAUACAUUAUCUUCUUUUCCUCCCUCCCUCCCUCCCUCCCUCUCUUUAUCUUUUCCUUUUCUUUCUCCUUUCCUUUCUUCUUUCCUUUCCCUUUUCCAUUCCUUUUUCCUUCCCUUCUUCUUCCUUUCUUCCUCUCCCCUGCUCUCCCUCCCUUCCUCCCUUCCUUCCUUUCUUCCUUUCUUCUCUUUCACUUCCUCUCCCUCUCUUUUUUUCACCUGUACUGUGACAGAUGGAUGAAGGGAGCCCUGAAAAAGUGUUAAUUGCUCUUUUUUUGUUGUUUUGUUUUCUUUUUAUUUCUUUUUUUUUUUUUUCCUUUUUUUUAAAUUCAAGUGGUUUGGAGGUUCAUAAGACCCUCUAAUUAAAGAAUCUGAGAGUGAGCUGGGCAUCUGG
rnacentral:lncRNA from 1 species